UUAUGGUCAUAUCGGUUUCAAACAGCAGCUCCCAUAUGAUCAAUGAAGUUAAGCAACACUGUGCUUGGUCAGUACCUAGAUGAGUGACUGCCUGGGAAUACCAGCAGCUGUAAGC